rnacentral:tRNA from 1 species
UGCCCACUAGCACAACUGGCAGUUGCGCCGGAAUCUGACUCCGGAGGUUCGAGGUUCGACUCCUCGGUGGGCAG